UACUUUCUAUCCAAAGGUAUCCAAAGCCACUUUAGAUGCAAAAUGUUUAAAGUUGCCCUUUGCUGCUGCCAAAAUCGUAGCCACUGUGGGCAGUCUGCAAGAUGGCAUCUUAGGUUUCUGAGGAAGAAAUUAGAAUACACAAAGGGGGAAAUAAGUGUACAAUUACAUAAUGUAGAUUUCAUAUUUAAUUUUAUGGGAAAAGCAAUAAUUAGUUGGCUUUUGGUUUUAAAUGGAAAUAGCCACUCAUUGGGAAAUAAUUAGUCUAAUUUCAAUUUAUUUUACUUUAAAUCAUUCUGUGAUGAAAACAGUUAUCAAAAAAGGUCUCCAGAAUGGAAGGAGUGCCAAGUCAGAGGUAUAUAACAUGUUUUAAUUCUCUCGGAAGAAUUUCUCUUUAAUGGCUUUUCUUUCCUUCUUAAAAGAAAAUUAUCAAGGUACUUUCUGCCAUCUUAAAACUAAGUUUUUAGUCAAAUGAAAUGGUUUUCUGUUUUUGAAAAUGUUGUGUGAUGCUUUAAUUUAGUUUCCCAGAAAUGCAGAUUGAAGACCUUUUAUUAACUUAAAAUAUCUUAAUUUCCAAUGAAGAUCAAACCCUCCUAAAUUACCUGUAACUUAAAUGGCAUAUUUAUCAUUUCUGUCUCAGUACCAGUGGAUAACUUCUCCAUCGGUGAAGGAACCAUACAAAGCUGCUAGACAGAAAAGGAGAACUAUAAUUUUGGAAAGUGGUUGAAAAGGAAAAGCUACUAUUAGAAUUGACAAUGAAAGUGAGGUACAGAAAUUGAGAUGGAAACUGGUGGAACCUGGAUUUGAGCCAUAGACAUUCUGACUCCAGAAACUAUGAAGAGCCAGAUAAAAGGAUCAUGACUCAGAGAGGCAGAGAUUUGGAAAAUGCCUAGAGUUCUCUCCUUGUCCUGUGGGCCCAAGUAGCAUGGCCAAGGUUCCCACUUCCAGGUAUUUCAUUUCCAAGCCUGAUGCUCCAGCUUCCCACCAGCUUGUUUUAGAAAGUAAAACUCUCAAAAGUCUGGAUCAUCUAAUGAAGAGAUAUAUCAUUAACAUGGAUGCUGUUCAAUUAGCUGUCAGUUCUUCUUCAGGAGGAAUUUCUUUACAUGCAGAUGUUGAUAUGUUGCAUCCAUGAGAAAAGUUUACUUCUUGAUAGAGAAUGGUCUCUGUCAAGAGAAAAAGAAGAAGUGUGAAGAAUAUAUGCAAAAAAGAAGAAUGAUUCUGCAAUCCUUUGGUGGACGCAAAAGCAAACAGAUUAGGCCUGUCUCUUGGCUGGGUGACCUUCUGUGUCACUGAUCCAACCCUUAAAGGCAGUCAGGUUUCUUACCUGGGGUCCUUGGAUGAAUUUCAGAGGGUAUUCUAUGAAUGUCUUAAAAUUCAGUGCAAAUAUUUCCUAUGUGAGAGUGUGUAUGGAUUUUCACUUAACUUUUACCAAAAGAAUUUGUGUGGUAUAGUGGAUCAGCGUAGUACAGUGGGCUCUAGAGUCCUUCAUCUGGAUUUGUAUCCCAACCCACCACUAGGCUGUGUGACUCUGAACAAGUUACUUAACCUUUCUCUGCUUCAAUAUUCUCAAAAUUGCAGAAAUAAUCUUAUAGGCCUGCUGUGUGGAUUAAAUGUGAGGAUUUUAUGGGCAUGUGAAGCCCAUAAUACAGUGGUAGGUACUUAGU